CGUGUAGGCGGCUUUUUAAGUUGGCAGUGAAAGGUUCCGGCUCAACUGGGAUUUGCCUGUCAAUACUGGGGAGCUUGAGGGCACCAGAGGAAAGUGGAACUCGCGGUGUAGCGGUGAAAUGUGUAGAUAUCGCGAGGAACACCAGUGGCGAAGGCGGCUUUCUGGGGUGUUCCUGACGCUGAGGCGCGAAAGCGUGGGGAGCGAAGC
rnacentral:rRNA from 1 species